rnacentral:rRNA from 1 species
UACGUAGGGGGCAAGCGUUGUCCGGAUUUAUUGGGCGUAAAGAGCGUGUAGGCGGCUAGGUAGGUCCGUUGUGAAAACUCGAGGCUCAACCUCGAGACGCCGAUGGAAACCAUCUAGCUAGAGUCCGGAAGAGGAGAGUGGAAUUCCUGGUGUAGCGGUGAAAUGCGCAGAUAUUAGGAAGAACACCGGUGGCGAAGGCGGCUCUCUGGAACGGUACUGACGCUGAGACGCGAAAGCGUGGGGAGCAAACAGG